rnacentral:rRNA from 1 species
CCUACGGGUGGCAGCAGUGGGGGAUAUUGGACAAUGGGGGGAACCCUGAUCCAGCGACGCCGCGUGAGUGAAGAAGUAUUUCGGUAUGUAAAGCUCUGUCAGCAGGGAAGAAAGAAAUGACGGUACCUUACCAAGAAGCCCCGGCUAACUACGUGCCAGCAGCCGCGGAAAUACGUAGGGGGCAAGCGUUAUCCGGAAUUACUGGGUGUAAAGGGAGCGUAGACGGUUAAGUAAGUCUGGAGUGAAAGGCCGGGGCCCAACCCCGGGACUGCUCUGGAAACUAUUGAACUUGAGUGCAGGAGAGGUAAGCGGAAUUCCUAGUGUAGCGGUGAAAUGCGUAGAUAUUAGGAGGAACACCAGUGGCGAAGGCGGCUUACUGGACUGUAACUGACGUUGGGGCUCGAAAGCGUGGGGAGCAAACAGGAUUAGAUACCCUUGUAGUC